rnacentral:rRNA from 1 species
CCUACGGGUGGCAGCAGUGAGGAAUAUUGGUCAAUGGACGCAAGUCUGAACCAGCCAUGCCGCGUGCAGGAAGACGGCUCUAUGAGUUGUAAACUGCUUUUGUACGAGGGUAAACGCAGAUACGUGUAUAUGUCUGAAAGUAUCGUACGAAUAAGGAUAGGCUAACUCAGUGCCAGCCGCCGCGGUAAUACGGAGGAUUCAAGCGUUAUCCGGAUUUAUUGGGUUUAAAGGGUGCGUAGGCGGUCGGAUAAGUUAGAGGUGAAAUCCCGAGGCUCAACUUCGGAAUUGCCUCUGAUACUGGUCGGCUAGAGAGUAGUUGCGGUAGGCGGAAUGUAUGGUGUAGCGGUGAAAUGCUUAGAGAUCAUACAGAACACCGAUUGCGAAGGCAGCUUACCAAGCUACUUCUGACGUUGAGGCACGAAAGCGUGGGGAGCAAACAGGAUUAGAUACCCCAGUAGUC